GCCAGGCGUGGUGGUGAACGCCUGUAGUCUCAGCCACUCAGGAGGCUGAGGCAGGAGGAUCACUUGAACCCAGGAGGUUGAGGCUGCAGUGAGCCAUGACUGUACCACUGCACUCCAACCUGGGUAACGAAGUGAGACUCUGUCUCAA
rfam:Homo sapiens chromosome 16, GRCh38 reference primary assembly.